GGACGAACGCUGGCGGCGUGCCUAAUACAUGCAAGUUGAGCGCUGAAGGUUGGUACUUGUACCAACUGGAUGAGCAGCGAACGGGUGAGUAACGCGUGGGGAAUCUGCCUUUGAGCGGGGGACAACAUUUGGAAACGAAUGCUAAUACCGCAUAAAAACUUUAAACACAAGUUUUAAGUUUGAAAGAUGCAAUUGCAUCACUCAAAGAUGAUCCCGCGUUGUAUUAGCUAGUUGGUGAGGUAAAGGCUCACCAAGGCGAUGAUACAUAGCCGACCUGAGAGGGUGAUCGGCCACAUUGGGACUGAGACACGGCCCAAACUCCUACGGGAGGCAGCAGUAGGGAAUCUUCGGCAAUGGACGAAAGUCUGACCGAGCAACGCCGCGUGAGUGAAGAAGGUUUUCGGAUCGUAAAACUCUGUUGGUAGAGAAGAACGUUGGUGAGAGUGGAAAGCUCAUCAAGUGACGGUAACUACCCAGAAAGGGACGGCUAACUACAUG
rnacentral:rRNA from 1 species